CCUACGGGAGGCAGCAGUGGGGAAUAUUGGGCAAUGGAGGCAACUCUGACCCAGCAACGCCGCGUGAAUGAUGAAGGUCUUCGGAUUGUAAAGUUCUGUGAUGGGGGAUGAACACAAUGACGGUACCCCAAUAGCAAGCCACGGCUAAAUACGUGCCAGCAGCCGCGGUAAUACGUAGGUGGCAAGCGUUAUCCGGAAUGACUGGGCGUAAAGGGGGCGUAGGUGGUUUAGGAAGUUGGCGGUGUAAUUCCGGGGCUCAACCUCGGCGCUACCGCCAAAACUAUUAGACUAGAGUGCAGGAGGGGUAAGUGGAAUUCCUAGUGUAGCGGUGGAAUGCGUAGAUAUUAGGAGGAACAUCAGGGGCGAAGGCGACUUACUGGACUGUAACUGACACUGAGGCACGAAAGCGUGGGGAGCAAACAGGAUUAGAUACCCCGGUAGUC
rnacentral:rRNA from 1 species